rnacentral:rRNA from 1 species
UACAGAGGGUGCUAGCGUUGUUCGGAAUCAUUGGGCGUAAAGGGCGUGUAGCGGUUUGUUAAGUUCAUGUGUGAAAUCCCUCGGCUCAACCCGGGGGAACGACGCAUGAAACUGGCAAGCUAGAGUACCAAAGAGGGGGGUGGAAUUCCAGGUGUGAGCGGUGAAAUGCGUAGAUAUCUGGAGGAACACCGGUGGCGAAGGCGGCAUCCUGGACCAACAUUGACGCGUGAGGAGCGAAAGCCAGGGGAGCAAACGGGG